rnacentral:rRNA from 1 species
GACGAACGCUGGCGGCGUGCUUAACACAUGCAAGUCGAACGGAAAGGCUCUGCUUUUGUGGGGGGCUCGAGUGGCGAACGAGUGAGUAACACGUGAGUAACCUGCCCGUGACUAUGGGAUAACUUCCGGAAGCUGGGGCUAAUACCGGAUAGGAUCUCCCGCUGCAAGGUGGGGGUGGGAAAGGUUCGGCGGGGGGGGAUGGAGUCGCGGCUGAUCAGCUUGUUGGUGGGGUAGUGGCUUACCAAGGCAUUGACGGGUAGCCGGCCUGAGAGGGUGACCGGCAACAUUGGGACUGAGAUACGGCCCAGACUCCUACGGGAGGCAGCAGUGGGAAAUGUUGAACAAUGGGCGUAAGCCUGAUGCAGCAACGCCGCGUGCGGGAUGACGGCGUACGGGUUGUGAACCGCUUUCGCCUGUGACGAAGCGUGAGUGGCGGUAAUGGGUAUAGAAGCACCGGCUAACUACGUG